rnacentral:rRNA from 1 species
GGAGGGUGCAAGCGUUAUCCGGAUUCACUGGGUUUAAAGGGUGCGUAGGCGGGCAGGUAAGUCAGUGGUGAAAUCUCCGGGCUUAACUCGGAAACUGCCGUUGAUACUAUCUGUCUUGAAUUCUGUGGAGGUGAGCGGAAUAUGUCAUGUAGCGGUGAAAUGCUUAGAUAUGACAUAGAACACCAAUUGCGAAGGCAGCUCACUACACAGCGAUUGACGCUGAGGCACGAAAGCGUGGGGAUCAAACAGGAUUAGAUACCCUGGUAGUCCACGCCCUAAACUAUGGAUACUCGACAUACGCGAUACACUGUGUGUGUCUGAGCGAAAGCAUUAAGUAUCCCACCUGGGAAGUACGACCGCAAGGUUGAA